rnacentral:lncRNA from 10 species
GUUUUUUAGGAAAUUGAUCUCCACUACAGCAAAACCACCCCAGGAAGAGCUCCUCAUUGGUGAAGAUGAAUGAGCAGUGCCUCCCAAACUGUAAUGUGCAUAUGAAUCACCCGGGGAUCCUGUUACAAUGCAGUCUGCUGCAGUAGGUCUGAGGUCUGGCCAGACAUUCCACAUUUCUAACAAGCUCCCACGUGGUGCUGAUGCCGCAGGUCAGAGGACUUCACUGUGAGUAGCAAGGCAGCGCUGGACUAACUUGGUUGAACUCAUGAGUGAUUAUAACAAGGUAGGUGUUUAGGAGGCAGAGCCCAAGGAGGAACAGGCAAGACUUCUGUGCCAAGGCUGAGCAGAUGCUGGUAACCUCAGGUGCAAUACAAACCCGGCUGGGGAGAAUUGAGUAGCUCAGGACCUGUCAGUGUCUCAGGAGCCAUAUGCCAGAUGCACAUCUGCCAAGACUUCUUGCUUUUCCUAAGAAGACAUGGUUCUAGUUAUUUGGUCCCUUUUAUCAAGAAACUGGCAAUGGUGCUUUCUCCCAUCAACAGAAGUCAUUUGGAUUAAGGAUUACAAGAGGUGCCAAGAGAUAAUUUAAAAGAGUUAUUUGCAUUAUAUGUUUUUUUUUACAAUUGUAAAAGACUCACAUGUUUUGGAAACUUUUUGUACAUUGUUUUGCAAACUUUUAUGCAUCUGGAAUUAUUUCAAAGUGAAAAGUUUUUUUUAAGUCUCUAAAAAGACUAAAUCUCUUUUAAAUCUCUAAAAAGACCAAAAUUCUGGAGUUUUCUACCUUUCCACAUCUCUUGAAAAUUUAUAUAUUUUUUC